ACAGCCUGUAGGCGCACUGUGAAGCCGUGUUCGAACCCCGAAACGUGUAAGGACCCCUCACCCUAUUUUCUAUCAUGGUAUUAAAGUUCAAUAAAUGAUAAAACGGUAUUUCAUGAAUCAACGAAUGUGUGAAAUUGCUUAAGGUCGCUAAUGGAGCCCGAGUCUAGUGUGUUUGUCGGUUAACUGUUAUUUGACCUGUUUUACAGUUUUAAAUGCAGCAUGAGGUUCGAUGUUUUCAUUUUAUAGAUUCGUGUGCAUAUUUUACUGUUUUAUUGAUUAUGGAUUGAAUGACUGGGAUAUUGAUGUUGUAUGUUGUCUGUUUGGCAUAAAUUAUCGUUUUGCUUGUUUGUAU
rnacentral:lncRNA from 1 species